rnacentral:misc_RNA from 1 species
AAAGCAUAUUGCGCCUGCGGCUCCGGCCAAAGGUAUGUCUGCCUCAGCGUCGGGCUGAUAUCAUUAUCCUUGCUUUCAGGGCAAGGAUCAUGGAUUUAUUCGUCUCAGUUAUCAGCACUGAGUCGAUUGAAUUGCAGAGAUUACUCAUGGAUCGGAAUCCGCUGCUUAGGGUGGAUUCGACAAUUGGUUAGAGCUUGGGGUGAUGAUUGUAUGAGCAGUCAUUAUCCUUCUCUUGGAUCAAUUGUUGCCUUUGUUGAAGGAGGAACCUAUGGAAAUCUCAACCGGGAAUUUAUAACCAUUUAUUACUCGACCUGAGCUCAGGCAAGAACACCCGCUGAACUUAA